rnacentral:rRNA from 1 species
GACGAACGCUGGCGGCGCGCCUAACACAUGCAAGUCGAACGAUCGAGCGAGAGCUUGCUUUCUUGAGCGAGUGGCGAACGGGUGAGUAACGCGUGAGGAACCUGCCUCAAAGAGGGGGACAACAGUUGGAAACGACUGCUAAUACCGCAUAAGCCCACGACCCGGCAUCGGGUUGAGGGAAAAGGAGCAAUCCGCGUUGUGAUGGCCUCGCGUCCGAUUAUCUAGGUGGUGAGGUAACGGCCCACCAAGGCGACGAGCGGUAGCCGGGCUGAGAGGUUGACCCACCGCAUUGGGACUGAGGCACAGACCCGUCUGCGACGGAACGGAGCGGUAGGGUGUAUUACACGAUGAAGCAAAACGUGGUGCAGCCGCGCCGCGUAGAAGAGGAAGGUCUUCGGAUUGCACACUCCUGUUGUAGGGGGAGAUAAUGACGGUACUCAACAAAGAAGUGACGGCUAACUACGUG